rnacentral:rRNA from 1 species
GUGGGGAAUAUUGGACAAUGGGCGCAAGCCUGAUCCAGCCAUGCCGCGUGAGUGAUGAAGGCCUUAGGGUUGUAAAGCUCUUUCAGUGGGGACGAUAAUGACGGUACCCACAGAAGAAGCCCCGGCUAACUUCGUGCCAGCAGCCGCGGUAAUACGAAGGGGGCUAGCGUUGUUCGGAUUUACUGGGCGUAAAGCGCACGUAGGCGGAUCGUUAAGUCGGGGGUGAAAUCCUGGAGCUCAACUCCAGAACUGCCUUCGAUACUGGCGAUCUUGAGUCCGGAAGAGGUGAGUGGAACUCCUAGUGUAGAGGUGAAAUUCGUAGAUAUUCGGAAGAACACCAGUGGCGAAGGCGACUCACUGGCCCAAUACUGACGCUGAGGCGCGAAAGCGUGGGGAGCAAACAGGAUUAGAAACCCGAGUAGUCC